CGGGGCUAGGGUAAGGAGGGGAGUGGGGAGUUAGUGUUUAAUAGGUACAGAGUUUCAAUUUUGCAAGAUGAAAAGAGUUCUCUACAGAUGGAUGAUGGUGAUGGUUGCACAAUGUGAAUGUACUUAAUGCCCUUAAGAGUGGUUAAAAUGGUAAAUUUUAUGUUAUGUGUAUUUCACCACAAUUUUUAAAAAGCAAAAAAUAAAAAUAAAAAACUCUUAAUUUCCCAAACCCCCACCCCAUCAAAUCUCCCCAUUUCAAAAACAAACAUGAAAAGCUAUAAAGUUGCUCAGGCUAAAAAUCCAGGAGUCAUCCUUAAUUUCCUUCCCUCAUGCCCACAUCCAAUAGUAAAUCAUGUCACCUUUUUCCUCCAAAAAUAUUCUGAAUUCAUCCAUUUAUCUCUUCCACAGUUACCACUCUAGUUCAGGCCAUCAUAAGCUCUUGCCUAUAAUGCUGCAAUGCUUUCUAAUCAGUCAACCUGCUUUCAUUCUUGUCCUCUACAGUCCCUUCUCUAUAUAGCAGCCAGAAUGUUCCUUUUAUGCUAGAAGUAAGACCUUAUGCUUUUCUCUGCCUGAAAAUACUCUGAUAGGCCAGGCACGGUGGCCCACACCUAUAAUCCUAGCACUUUGGGAGGCCAAAGUGGGCAGCAUUCAAGACCAGCCUGGGCAACAUGGCAAAAUCCCAUCUCUACAAAAAAUACAAAAAUUAGCCAGGUGUGGUGCGUGUAGUCCUAGCUUCUGGGGAAGAUGAGGUGUGAGGAUCACUUAAGCCCAGGAGGCAGAAGUUGCAGAGAGUCAAGAUCAUGCCACUGCACUCCAGCCUGGGUGACAGUGAGACCCUGUCUCAAAAAAGAAAAAAUAUUCUGGUAGUGUUCCAUCUAGAAUAAAAUCCAAACUCCUUGCCACUAUCUACAAGGCACUAGACAAUUUGGCUUCCAUAAAAACUGGCCUCCUGCCAAUGUCUCUGACUUAUGUUCCAACAUUACUCACUUUGAUCACUAUGUUCUAGUCACGCUGGUCUUCUCUCCGUUACUUAGUCACCCCGAGCACAUCCCUUACCUCACAGUCUUUGUACUUGCUGCUCUUCUGCUUAGUACACCUGCUUCCCAGAUCUUCACAUGACAGAUUCCUUCUCGUCCUUUGCCUCUCAGCUCAGAUAUCACUUUCUCAGAAACAUGUUCACUUACCAUUCAUCUAAAGCAGCUACCCAAUGACUGUCAUUCUAUACCAUUACUCUCUUUUCUUUCACCUUGGCAAUUACCACUACUUGAAGUUUGUAUUUAUUUGUACAAGUUUAUUGUCAGCCUCUCCAUCCUCCAAGUAAAAUACGAGCUCCAUGAAAACAGAUAGCUUGUUUCUUUCCUCAGUUCCCAGAACUCGGAACAGUGUUUGGCACACAUCAGUCUAUUCAUAUGUUUGCCAAAUGAACGAAGAAGUAAAAACCACUAGUGACCCAAUUUUCCUGCCAUGUCAUAUAUAUACAUAAAAGUCUUUUGGGAAAACUCAUAUUUCUAUAUUGGCCCUCACUAAUGUCUUUUCCAUCUAUUCUAGAAUGCAAUAACCAGUCUUUAAAAUGCAAGCAGAAUAUUUCACAUUUCAUUUUUGCAGGUAUCUCUGAGGGGAAUGAAUUUACAUUUCUACUACCACAAAUAGGAUGGUCAAGUUUGUUGCAAUGCAAAAUUUUUUCUGUGGAAUUCAAAAACUGUCCUGUACCUCUUGAAGCCGAAUUGUGGGGUUUCACAUUGGAAAUUACACUCAUCUAAAGAAACAGUCUGGACAUUUAAGUCCUUAAACAGUUGUUCAAAGUAUUUUAUUACAUACUUUUUCUAGUCUUCAGAAUGUUUCAAGGUCCAUUGUCUUCAUGGCUAGUUACCUGUCUGUCCAGGCCAAACAAACUGGAGUUAAAAUGCAGAAUCACAUAACAGCAGAAAUGUGAUUUCUCAUUCUAUUGUGCAAUCCAACAGAAUUGUGCCAAGUCUUGCUAGGCUGACGCUGCUCUACUCUGCCCAAAUGCCAAUAUGCAUUGGGGUGAUGACAUCCCACUUGGGAUAUUGUCUGAUGACACAGACAGACUUCUCUGUUUCUCCACUCUUGGGUCAUAUAAUUCAAUGUUCUGGGGCUGAGGCAAAUAAUGUCUUACAGUGAUUUUGGCAAGAAAAAAACAGCUAUUUCAGAUUUUGUUCAAGUUCCCCUAGUCAUGUCAGACCCCAUUGACUUCAGUAGGGAUGGCACCAUGUUCAAGAGGCUGAAGAAGAGACCUAGAACCAGAAACUGAGACAUAAGGUUUAUUGAGGGGACUUACAAUACAGGGCAGUCCAGUGGCAGUGGGCUGGGCAGGAGAACCAAAACUCCUUGUAAAAAGCAUGCAAUUGGCCAGGCGUGGUGGCUCAUACCUGUAAUCCCACCUAUUCUUUUCUUAAAGGAGGAGGCC
rnacentral:lncRNA from 10 species